AAAAUUAUUAGCUAAUUAUUAAAAUUAAUAUAGGAUCUAAACAAGAUGAAGCACUGUAAAAUAUGAACUCUCUUUCCAACAUAAUAUGAGAUACAACUUCUUUCACCAAAAAAAACAAAGGCUGCUAUCUUCUCUUGUAAAAAAGAAAGAAAGAAAAAUAGAAUCCCGAAACUUCCCCUUGUGUAUACUGACAUAUAGCAUGCAAUACACUACAUAACCUCCUUAAAAUAUAUGUUUUAUGAAAAAAUUAUUAGGAUCACUAACUCCUAAUUUACACUAAUUAAGUUUCACCAUAAUCAUGCCAGCAAACUAACAUCGUUACACAUCGCCGGAGAAUGUAGAACCUAGCCCUUUGCUCCUUUACGAGGCUACUGCAUCUCCGGCCAAAAGAUCUGCAAGGGUCACGAACAUGCUUGCUGCAGAAACCUGUGUUCUCUGCUUCAUGAUCUUUAAUUUUCUUGCGAGCUAGCAAUAUUGAGCUGCUUGUCCUUAGUGGUGAUUACGGUGCUUGAAAGAUUAUUUUGAUACUUAGUGGAAAAGAAGUACAAUUCUGAGAGAUUAAGGGUGGGAGACCGAGAAAAGGAGAGUUUGUUGUGAUAAAUUUGCUGGCAGAGAAUUGAAGGGGGUUUAGCCUUUAUAUAAGUUUGAUUUUGAUCAAGGGAUUUGUA
rnacentral:lncRNA from 1 species